UACGGGGGGAGCAAGCGUUGUUCGGAUUUACUGGGCGUAAAGGGUGCGUAGGCGGGUCUUUAAGUCAGGGGUGAAAUCCUGGAGCUCAACUCCAGAACUGCCUUUGAUACUGAGGAUCUUGAGUCCGGGAGAGGUGAGUGGAACUGCGAGUGUAGAGGUGAAAUUCGUAGAUAUUCGCAAGAACACCGGUGGCGAAGGCGGGUCUCUGGGCCGUAACUGACGCUGAGGAGCGAAAGCGUGGGGAGCAAACAGG
rnacentral:rRNA from 1 species